rnacentral:rRNA from 1 species
CAGGCCCGGACACUGGAAGGAUUGACAGAUUGAGAGCUCUUUCUUGAUUCGGUGGGUGGUGGUGCAUGGCCGUUCUUAGUUGGUGGAGCGAUUUGUCUGGUUAAUUCCGAUAACGAACGAGACUCUAGCCUGCUAAAUAGGUGACGGGUUUUAUCAAUUGAAACCGAAGGGGGUACGGAGGCGUCGGGAUCAGGUGGCGGCGGUUUGGGGCCGUUGGGACGGGAGCGCGGUCUCGUUGUUUUCUCGGGGGUUUCGUCGGGCGUCGUGGCUUUCGGGUUGCGGCGUUCGGCGGGGCUCUUUGGGGGCGGCGGGGUUGCGUUUUCGCGCCUGGCGGUUUCGGUCGUCGUCAUCCCCGGCGAUUCUCCUGCUCUCGCGUCCGUCACAAGUCUUCUUAGAGGGACAAGCGGCGUCCAGCCGCGUGACAGUGAGCAAUAACAGGUCUGUGAUGCCCUUAGAUGUCCUGGGCCGCACGCGCGCUACACUGAAGGAAUCAGCGUGUUUCACUCUCCCUGUCCGAAAGGACCGGGUAACCGCUGAACCUCCUUCGUGG